UUAUACAUAAGAGGUCUCGCCUGCCCAGUGACUAUAAGUUAAACGGCCGCGGUAUUUUGACCGUGCAAAGGUAGCGUAAUCACUUGUCUUUUAAAUAAAGACCUGUAUGAAUGGCACCACGAAGGCUUAACUGUCUCCUUUUUCCAGUCAAUGAAAUUGAUCUCUCCGUGCAGAAGCGGAGAUUUAUACAUAAGACGAGAAGACCCUAUAGAGCUUUAGGCACCGAACAGACUAUGUAAAACACCCUAGUAUAUAAGACAAAACUUAUUAGACCCUGUACCAAUGCCUUCGGUUGGGGCGACCGCGGGAAAAAUAAAAACCCCCCACGUGGACCAGGAGAACACUCUCCCACAACCCAGAAAAACAACUCUAAGUAACAGAAUAUCUGACCAAUAAAAUGAUCCGGUACAACCGAUCAACGAACCAAGUUACCUUAGGGAUAACAGCGCAAUCCCCUUCUAGAGUCCAUAUCGACAAGGGGGUUUACGACCUCGAUGUUGGAUCAGGACAUCCUAUUGGUGCAACCGCUAUUAAGGGUUCGUUUGUUCAACGAUUAAAGUCCUACGUGAUCUGAGUU
rnacentral:rRNA from 1 species